UUGCAAGAAGCAGGGGCACUGGAAGAGAAACUAUCCUCUAUACAUUGCCUCACUGGACCCGAACAGGCCAAAGAAGAAGCAAGGUACUUAUAUGAUAACACCUUGCAACUUUUUCAUUUGUGAUACUACUGCCUGGGUAUUGGAUACCGGAAGCCCUUAUCAUAUUUGCAAUAAGAUGCAGGGUCUGCAGGUCAGUAGGAGAUU
rnacentral:lncRNA from 1 species